rnacentral:rRNA from 1 species
UGCCAGCCGCCGCGGUAAUACGGAGGGUGCGAGCGUUAAUCGGAAUUACUGGGCGUAAAGCGCGCGUAGGCGGUUUGUUAAGUCGGAUGUGAAAGCCCUGGGCUCAACCUGGGAACUGCAUUCGAUACUGGCAAACUAGAGUAUGAAAGAGGGAGGUAGAAUUCCACGUGUAGCGGUGAAAUGCGUAGAUAUGUGGAGGAAUACCAGUGGCGAAGGCGGCCUCCUGGUUCAAUACUGACGCUGAGGUGCGAAAGCGUGGGGAGCAAACAGGAUUAGAUA